AAAGUGUUAAGUUAUAAGGAAUUAGAAAUAAAGAUUAGUGUAUAGCCAUUAAAGUGUGACUUUUAUUUGACAAUCCAGUGAUCGAACUCAGGGUCGAGUUUUAGAGUAAACGACAGAUUUUGGAAGUCCGUUACAAUAUAUUAAAUCCAUUAUUUUUUUAAAUUAUGCAACUUCUGCAGAUUUUAUUUGUUUAUAUUCAGAAUUUAAUAAAACGAAUGUUGUAAUGUAAAUAAAUAAAACGAAUGUAAGACUGUUGUACAUUUACACUUAAAAUUUGUAAUGUAAUGUAAAUAAAUAAAACGAGUGUAAGAAUAUUGCAUUUUCAAAUUUGCAUAUUUAAAUGUAUCGCUUAACUUAAAUUAUCAAUACGAUACAUUAAAACCCGAAAAAAUAAAUAUAUAAAAUUCUGGAACUUUAUUCAUCAAAUUUUUUUUGCGAUAUAUAUAUGUAUACAUGUUGAGAAGAGUACGUAAUAUAAAAUAAUUUAACGAGUAUGCACAUGUCGUUGUUAAUUGUGUAACACCCCAGCAAGUCAUGGGUACUGAAACUCCAACACAUUCAAAGAAAUUUUAAUAACACCACUACAUACACACAUACACAACAAAGGGUAAAAUGUGCAUAAACAUUUAACUCAACUCUUCUCUCAUACAGCACCCUGAAUGAUAGAAAGAAACAACCAAAGUUCUUGUGUUUGAACAAGUUUUGUUUUGAGCUAUAUCAUGGCUGCUUGUGAAGUAUUAUUUUGCGUGUUUUAUUUAUUUCAGUGAUCUGCAGCCUAAUUAAAGUAUAAAUUAUUGAAGCACGCAUUUUUAAAUAAGUAAAACGUAGAAUAAAAGUUUUCUAAGGCCAAAAUAUGGAAUUGAAGAGGGUGAUACAGUAAUACUUCAUUGCACUAUCAAUUCGAAGCACACAAUGGUCAACAUCAAUGGCGAAACCAUUGAAUACAUAUUUCAAACCUCAUAUGGCGCGUUAAAGGUACGCAAACUUAUUGGUGUCACUUAUUGUAGCAGCGUAGAACUUUCGAAGCGAUGGAAUAUGUGCUGCAAACAAAUCCAAAACUAUGGACGCAAACGCUGCUACAUGGAACACAAAUCAUUCACACACCAGUUAUUAAGUUUAAUGUCACUUUUUUGCGUGCAAUUAAACCUUUUGGUCAACACAAGCACGAGAAUUGGAACGACAUGGUUUAGGUGCUUUUGAAACCGUUUAUUAUCACGACGUGUGUCAACUGGGUUUUGCCAAUGAGCUAGAGGGCAAAGCAGUUUCAGUAUCUUUGAGCUUACCGGCAUUUGGCCGUGCCAUUAGCAGCUAAAACACAGAAAUUAAAGGGAGGACUUUUUUGAUUCAUUUUCACCUUGUAUUGAGGAAUCAUAACGUUGUUGUAUCGCUUUACAAGGACAUAAAUUCACCGAAAUUAGUUCAAUGGAAAUACUACAGCAAGAGCAUGGAUGUUAAGACUUGAACGGUGCCGUGUUAGAUUUAGAAUUCCUGAAACAAGAAACCCUCCUCCCAGAUGAAUCUAGUACUAGUGAAAUUAAUGAAAGAACAGAUCUUAUAAAAACUCCGAAAGAAACCAAAAGAGUCCUCACAUAAUGUGCGCAGCUUACACUUCCAGACCGCACGGGGUAUUUGAC